ensembl:miRNA MIR1251 microRNA 1251
GUGGACUCUAGCUGCCAAAGGCGCUUCUCCUUCUGAACAGAGCGCUUUGCUCAGCCAGUGUAGACAUGGC